rnacentral:rRNA from 1 species
GAUGAACGCUGGCGGCGUGCCUAAUACAUGCAAGUCGAGCGAACUUAACUAAAUGAAUGCGGUGCUUGCACCAAGUGAUUUUAGAGCGGUGAGCGGCGGAUGGGUGAGUAACACGUGGGUAACCUGCCUCUAAGCAGGGGAUAACAUUUGGAAACAGAUGCUAAUACCGUAUAAAUCCUAAAACCACAUGGUUUUAGGCUGAAAGGCGGCUUCGGCUGUCACUUAGAGAUGGACCCGCGGCGUAUUAGCUAGUUGGUGAGGUAAUGGCUCACCAAGGCAAUGAUACGUAGCCGAACUGAGAGGUUGAUCGGCCACAUUGGGACUGAGACACGGCCCAAACUCCUACGGGAGGCAGCAGUAGGGAAUCUUCCACAAUGGACGCAAGUCUGAUGGAGCAACGCCGCGUGAGUGAAGAAGGCUUUCGGGUCGUAAAACUCUGUUGUUGAAGAAGAACACGUUUGAGAGUAACUGUUCAGACGUUGACGGUAUUCAACCAGAAAGCCACGGCUAACUACGUGCCAGCCGCCGCCGUAACAC